GAUGAACGCUGGCGGCGUGCCUAAUACAUGCAAGUCGAGCGAACAGACGAGGAGCUUGCUCCUCUGACGUUAGCGGCGGACGGGUGAGUAACACGUGGAUAACCUACCUAUAAGACUGGGAUAACUUCGGGAAACCGGAGCUAAUACCGGAUAAUAUAUUGAACCGCAUGGUUCAAUAGUGAAAGACGGUUUUGCUGUCACUUAUAGAUGGAUCCGCGCCGCAUUAGCUAGUUGGUAAGGUAACGGCUUACCAAGGCAACGAUGCGUAGCCGACCUGAGAGGGGGAUCGGCCACAGUGGAACUGAGACACGGUCCAGAACCCGACGGGAGGCAGGAGUAGGGAAUCUUCCGCAAGGGGCGAAAGCGUGAAGGAGCAACGCCGCGUGAGUGAGGAAGGUCUUCGGAGCGUAAAACUCUGUUAUUAGGGAAGAACAAAUGUGUAAGUAACUAUGCGCGUCCUGACGGUACCGAAGCAGAAGGCCACGGUUAACUACGU
rnacentral:rRNA from 1 species